rnacentral:rRNA from 1 species
CACGUAGGGCGCAAGCGUUGUCCGGAAUUAUUGGGCGUAAAGAGCUCGUAGGCGGUCUGUUGCGUCCGCUGUGAAAACUCGGGGCUUAACCCCGAGCCUGCAGUGGAUACGGGCAGACUAGAGGUAGGUAGGGGAGAAUGGAAUUCCCGGUGUAGUGGUGGAAUGCGUAGAUAUCGGGAGGAACACCAGUGGCGAAGGCGGUUGCCUGGAGCUUUGCUGACGCUGAUGCGCGAAAGCGUGGGGAGCGAUCCGG